rnacentral:rRNA from 1 species
UUUCGCAAUGCCCGAAAGGGUGACGAAGCGACGCCGCGUGGGUGAGGAAGGCCUUCGGGUUGUAAAGCCCUGUCAGGAGUUAAGAAAUGUAGAUACGCUAAUAUCGUAUCUAUUUGACAAAGGCUCCAAAGGAAGCCACGGCUAACUCUGUGCCAGCAGCCGCGGUAAUACAGAGGUGGCAAGCGUUGUUCGGAAUUAUUGGGCGUAAAGAGCACGUAGGUGGAUUUGUAAGUCAGACGUGAAAGCCUUCUGUUCAACGGAAGAAUUGCAUCUGAAACUGCAAACCUUGAGUAUAGGAGGGGAGAAUGGAACUUCUGGUGGAGCGGUGAAAUGCGUAGAUAUCAGAAGGAACGCCGGCGGCGAAAGCGAUUCUCUGGCCUAUUACUGACACUCAGUGUGCGAAAGCUAGGGGAGCGAACGGGAUUAGAUACCCCGGUAGUCCUAGCCGUAAACGAUGGGCACUAAGUAGAGGGGUUUU